ACAUUUGGGAUCUAUUAUACAGAGCCGGAGCCAGAGCUACAGAACACAGAAACCUAAACACAGUUAUCUGUCAGCCUCAAGCUUUUUAUGAAGUGCAUAGCAGCUUGCAGGAAAAUAGAAAUAUGGGGAGUUAAAAUGGGGCUCUGCAAUGAAUCAGGAAUUAAGUAGAAAACAUCCAUCUCUGUCUUCAAGAAAAAUAACAACGCUGACAGCAGAAAAUCUGUCUGGUUCUAUUUACUCAGCAAAGCAUGAGUCUUCUUCUGCACCACUAAACCUUACCAGCCAGGACUAAACAGCUGUGGAACCUGGUGGGACAGAAACCUCUGUCAACAGAAUGGUGCUCACAUGGACAACUGCAUCCACAUAAACACUGAGAGAACUUGGGAGGUAAUUCUAGACAGAACGGAGUUAAGCCCAGCUUAUUGAUAGCAUCACUUUCUCAGGUGGGCUCUCUUUGCUAGAGACAAGUGAAUCUUAUUUAAGAGAGGAUUCCUGACUCAACUUUAGCUGUGAAACCUUGCAGCUCUUUUAAGAGGCCCUAUCACCAAACACUUAUAUGGUGUUUAUGAAUAGCUGACAGCAUGCUUCUUGGCGAUGGCAGGGACCUUGAGAUUCCAUAAAGUUGUGGCAAUAAAUACAGCUCUGGUCAGUAAUUCUGCCAUGAGGCUACACUCUCAGAAAGCUAAGGAAUGGGGUGGAUCCAGCCAUCAAAGCCACAGUCUUAAUCCUAGCUAUAUUGCUUAGCAAAUUAAAGACUCAUGUGGUCAGAAAGAGAGAGAUACAGUAAAGAUAGAUUCAAAGAUGAAGGAAACAGCUAAAUGAUUUACAGUGUGUUUAAAAAUAUAUGUAAUAUAUAUGUAAAAUAUAUGUAAGCUUGAGAGAGAAAAGAAAAAGGAUAAAGUCCUUAAAACAGAAAGAAAGGAUGUGGAGGCAGACACCUUUAAUUCCAACACAAGUAGGAAGAGGCAGGUGGAUCUC